UACGGAGGAUGCGAGCGUUAUUCGGAUUUAUUGGGUUUAAAGGGUGCGUAGGCGGGCUGUCAAGUCAGCGGUAAAAUUGAGAGGCUCAACCUCUUCCCGCCGUUGAAACUGGUGGUCUUGAGUGGAUGAGAAGUACGCGGAAUGCGUGGUGUAGCGGUGAAAUGCAUAGAUAUCACGCAGAACUCCGAUUGCGAAGGCAGCGUACCGGCAUCCAACUGACGCUGAGGCACGAAAGCGUGGGGAUCAAACAGG
rnacentral:rRNA from 1 species